UGAGGAAUAUUGGUCAAUGGGCGGGAGCCUGAACCAGCCAAGCCGCGUGAAGGAAGAAGGCGCCAGGCGUCGUAAACUUCUUUGUCGGGGAACAAAGGGCGCCACGCGUGGCGUUGUGAGUGUACCCGAAGAAAAAGCAUCGGCUAACUCCGUGCC
rnacentral:rRNA from 1 species